rnacentral:rRNA from 1 species
AUUGAACGCUAGCGGCAGGCCUAACACAUGCAAGUCGAACGAGUGGCGGGCGGGUGGGUAAUGUCUGGGAAACUAACUGAUCGAUGGGUGUGACUACUGGAAACGGUAGCUAGUACCGCAUCCCAGUCGGUGUUGCCAGAUGGUAUUAGCUAGUAGGUGGGGUAACGGCUCACCUCGGCGAAGAUCCCUAGCUGGGCGGAGAUGAUGACCAGCCACACUGGAACUGAGCCAAGGGCCAGACCCCUACGGUAGGCAGCAGUGGGGAAUAUUGCACAAGGGGCGCAAGCCUGACGUAGCCAUGCCGCGUGUAUGAAGAAGGCCUGCCGGUUGUAAAGUUCUUUCAGCGUUGAGGCGUUACCAGAAGAAGAAGGACCGGCUAACUCCGUGCCAGCAGCCGCGGUAAUAC